UCCCUGGUAGUAUAUCGGUUAGUACACGCGCCUGUCAUUCCAAGCGCGCGCGCGAAAGCGGGGUUCGACUCCCCGCCAGGGAG
rnacentral:tRNA from 1 species